UUAAAUUGAAGAGUUUGAUCAUGGCUCAGAUUGAACGCUGGCGGCAGGCCUAACACAUGCAAGUCGAACGGUAACAGGAAGCAGCUUGCUGCUUCGCUGACGAGUGGCGGACGGGUGAGUAAUGUCUGGGAAACUGCCUGAUGGAGGGGGAUAACUACUGGAAACGGUAGCUAAUACCGCAUAAUGUCGCAAGACCAAAGAGGGGGACCUUCGG
rnacentral:rRNA from 1 species